CUAAUAAUUCUGCACUCCCUGUAAACCCAGAUGCCUAGUUAUUGUUUUCAUAUUUGAAACAGAAAUUAACAUGAACCUUCAAUGGCCCACUCACUAAACUGAGAAUUGUCAAGGCAAAAAAAGCUGAACUGUAGUAAUUCUCUGAAUGUAAACACACAUUCUGUUAUCUUACUUUGAUACGGAUCAUACCAAAAAACAACCUAAU